rfam:Mustela putorius furo unplaced genomic scaffold scaffold00027, whole genome shotgun sequence.
GGCUACGGCCAUACCACCCUGAACACGCCCCAUCUCGUCUGAUCUCGGAAGCUAAGCAGGGUCGGGCCUGGUUAGUACUGGGAUGGCAGAACACAGUCGUCAAGGGGAGAUGGGGCUUUUUCAC